rnacentral:rRNA from 1 species
AUUGAACGCUGGCGGAAUGCUUUACACAUGCAAGUCGAACGGCAGCACGGGAGCUUGCUCCUGGUGGCGAGUGGCGAACGGGUGAGUAAUAUAUCGGAACGUAUCCAAUAAUGGGGGAUAACUAGUCGAAAGAUUAGCUAAUACCGCAUACGCCCUGAGGGGGAAAGCUAGGGACCGCAAGGCCUGGCGUUAAUGGAGCGGCCGAUAUCUGAUUAGCUAGUUGGUGAGGUAAAGGCGCACCAAGGCGACGAUCAGUAGCUGGUCUGAGAGGACGACCAGCCACACUGGAACUGAGACACGGUCCAGACUCCUACGGGAGGCAGCAGUGUGGAAUUUUGGACAAUGGGCGCAAGCCUGAUCCAGCCAUGCCGCGUGAGUGAAGAAGGCCUUCGGGUUGUAAAGCUCUUUCGCAAGGGAAGAAAACUUAUCCUCUAACAUAGGAUGAGGUUGACGGUACCUUGAUAAGAAGCACCGGCUAACUACGUGCCAGCCGCCGCGGUAAGAC